rnacentral:rRNA from 1 species
AGAGUUUGAUCCUGGCUCAGAUUGAACGCUGGCGGCAUGCUUUACACAUGCAAGUCGAACGGUAACAGGCCUUCGGGCGCUGACGAGUGGCGAACGGGUGAGUAAUGCAUCGGAACGUGCCCAGUCGUGGGGGAUAACGCAGCGAAAGCUGCGCUAAUACCGCAUACGAUCUGUGGAUGAAAGCGGGGGACCGUAAGGCCUCGCGCGAUUGGAGCGGCCGAUGUCAGAUUAGGUAGUUGGUGGGGUAAAGGCUCACCAAGCCAACGAUCUGUAGCUGGUCUGAGAGGACGACCAGCCACACUGGGACUGAGACACGGCCCAGACUCCUGCGGGAGGCAGCAGUGGGGAAUUUUGGACAAUGGGGGCAACCCUGAUCCAGCAAUGCCGCGUGCAGGAAGAAGGCCUUCGGGUUGUAAACUGCUUUUGUACGGAACGAAAAGGCUCUGGCUAAUACCCGGGGCACAUGACGGUACCGUAAGAAUAAGCACCGGCUAACUACGUGCCAGCAGCCGCGGUAAUACGUAGGGUGCAAGCGUUAAUCGGAAUUACUGGGCGUAAAGCGUGCGCAGGCGGUGCUGUAAGACAGGCGUGAAAUCCCCGGGCUCAACCUGGGAAUUGCGCUUGUGACUGCAGUGCUGGAGUGCGGCAGAGGGGGAUGGAAUUCCGCGUGUAGCAGUGAAAUGCGUAGAUAUGCGGAGGAACACCGAUGGCGAAGGCAAUCCCCUGGGCCUGCACUGACGCUCAUGCACGAAAGCGUGGGGAGCAAACAGGAUUAGAUACCCUGGUAGUCC